CAAAACAUAAAGCAACAUCUACAAUGGAAUGGUUCAAAAAUAAACAUAUCCAGGUGUUAGAAUGGCCAAGUCAAAGUCCAGACCUGAAUCCAAUCGAGAAUCUGUGGAAAGAACUGAAAACUGCUGUUCACAAAUGCUCUCCAUCCAACCUCACUGAGCUCGAGCUGUUUUGCAAGGAGGAAUGGGAAAACAUUUGAGUCUCUCUAUGUGCAAAACUGAUAGAGACAUACCCCAAGCGACUUACAGCUGCAAUCGCAGCAAACGGUGGCGAUAACAAAGUAUUAACUUAAGGGGGCUGAAUAAUUUUGCACUCCCAAUUUUUCAGUUUUUGAUUUGUUAAAAAAGUUUGAAAUAUCCAAUAAAUGUCGUUCCACUUCAUGAUUGUGUCCCACUUGUUGUUGAUUCUUCACAAAAAAAAUACAGUUUUAUAUCUUUAUGUUUGAAGCUCAAGGGGGCCGAAUACUUUCGCAAGGCACUGGACAUGUGUAAAUUCACAAUUUCUAGAAAUGCCUGUUCGUCUUCCGGUAAUCGUUGCAUCAAGUCAGGUGCGGUAGUAGGUUAUGCAUAACCCAUAACAAGAUGGUAGGUUAUGCACAACCCAUAAUAAGAUGGUAGGUUAUGCAUAACCCAUAACAAGAUGGUAGGUUAUGCACAACCCAUAAUAAGAUGGUUAGUUAUGCACAACCCAUAAUAAGUUGGUAGGUUAUGCACAACCCAUAAUAAGUUGGUAGGUUAUGCACAACCCAUAAUAAGAUGGUAGGUUAUGCACAACCCAUAAUAAGAUGGUAGGUUAUGCAUAACCCAUAAUAAGAUGGUAGGUUAUGCACAACCCAUAAUAAGAUGGUAGGUUA